rnacentral:misc_RNA from 1 species
UCAAACUUGGUCAUUUAGAGGAAGUAAAAGUCGUAACAAGGUUUCCGUAGGUGAACCUGCGGAAGGAUCAUUAUUGAAUUACUUGACAGGUUGUAGCUGGCUCUUUUGAGCAUGUGCACACAUGUCUUGAUUCUAUUCAUCCACCUGUGCACACUUUGUAGUCUUCAAGGGCUGAGACCGGCAAAUUGUCAGUUGAAAGACUGGGUUAGAGGAUUGCAUGUACAUUAAUUAGUGCAGCUUUCUUCAACAAAAGCCCAAUAUCUCUCUUGGAGUCUAUGUUUUUACAUCAUACACCACAUAGCAUGAUGCAGAAUGUAUUAAAUGGGUUAUUGUACCUAUAAAACAUUAUACAACUUUCAGCAACGGAUCUCUUGGCUCUCGCAUCGAUGAAGAACGCAGC